AGGUAAUAAUAUAAUAUAAAUUAAACCUUAUUAUUUUGGCGGCAUUUUAUCUUACCAGAGGAACUUGUUAUUUAAUCGAUAAACCACGUUAAUACUCACUUUAUUUAAAAAUUUAUAUACCGCCAUCAUUAGAAUUUUUUUAAAAAUAUAUUCAAAAUAAAAUAUAAAAAAUUAGGUCAAGGUGUAAUUUAUAAUAAAGACAAAAAUGAGUUACUUUAAAUAAAAUUUAAAGAAUAUUUAAUUAAAAUCAAUUACAAAAUAGGAUUUGAAAGUAAAAUAUAAAUAUUAAUUUUAUAUGAAUAAGAAAAUAAAUGUGC
rnacentral:rRNA from 1 species